GACAUUAAAUCAGUUUUUCCGAAGGCCCCAUGUCAGCUCUUGAUGCUAUCUGUUAUGAUGCUGUCAAUGACAUAUUGCCUCUGGGGCAACACCGUACAGCACCAUACCGUGUUGAAAGGAUUACCCUCGUGGAAGUAAGGCUUAACCCGGGAGCAAUAAAAUGAAACAAAAGUCAAAGCUUUUCUUAAGUAAGUGCAACGUAUGCCUUGUGCAGUAAAAGGUUCCUUUAAGACUGCCAUGCAACACUUUAGAGAAACAUAAAAAGCAUCAGCUGAGACUCCCUAACACUUUCAAAAUAUACACAAGUCUUUCUGUAGUUAAGGCCUAGAUAAGUAGGAAGCCUCGUCAUCCUCAUUGUUUUAAAGACAGUUUAUUGAGAGAUGGGAUUAAGUUUUCAUCUUACCGUAAUGACUAUAAAAUAGGAGCAAAUCAUCAAACCUUUUAGGCAGUAAUUCCGUUCAGAGUACAAAGUAAAAUGUUUCAACCCGCAACGAAAGAGUUAUUUGGUUCCAUUAGAGAGGUUUUUCUGGUAAUGUAAAUAGAUAAUCAAGAGCGAAGCAUCAAGCCUGGACAGGGGAUCAGUAUGACCUGCUGUGUGUACAUAAACCUCAGUUGUAGUGAUGGAUGGCUGGCCUGACAGACUGUUGUUGUGUGAUGUAGAGGGAGACAGCUCCCACAGCAGCUCUCAUCUACUAUCCCGCUCACAAACCUCUCCAAACACCACAUGUGUCAUUGUCUGCAGAUGUGUAAAUGUACAACAAAGGGCUUUUUUUCCAAAAGAGGUGUAAUGAAAGGUUAAAAAUGAGUGUUAUUGCAUAAUUAGGCACACAUAACAGCUCUCUUGUCUGGUUACAUCAGAAACAGUGAAAAUCAGUCACCUUUGCUACACAAGCUCUACUCCUCUGUUGUUUUCACAUCCAUCUGUGGACAACAAAAGAAAAAGCAGCGAGGAGAGGGAGAACAAGGCCCACCAUGCUACCAGAUAGGAGCCUGAAGGGUUUUGGGGCCCUGAAAAAUAAGGCUAAUUUGAAGGUCAUUUAAAGAGCGCCAGGCGGUGCAGCCCAGGAGGGGGGGGCGUCUCAACCAGAGCUGGGGAGCACUUUGGGUUGCACCGCUGUGAGGUAGGUGCUCCGACGCUCUCCCUGGUGCUCUUCAUCAAUCUCUCUGAUCCACCGAGAGCCUCCUCUGACCCACAUAGCAGCCAAAGAGAGGCGGCUGCUUUUCUUUCAUUAUUGAUACCACUGCGCCACAUCACCUGGACUUACCUGGAACAGGUUAGCAGAGGAGCCACAAAGGUCAGAGAGCAACAGGCAGACUCAAAGCCAGAGGUUUACAGUGAUAGACAAAGGCAGAUCCCCACCCACCCACUUCCUUUUGGUUUACCUUUGCCUUACUUCAUGAAAUAGACUUAAAUAUUCUUGAUCAGAUCCUUGUUUUUAUCUGUAUAAUUUACACAACAAACUCUGAGCUGCAACACUCUGAGUAAGUCAGUAAGAAACUUGAAGAAGUCCCCUUGGUUACCAACAAUGGGAUGGACUGUGCAAGGCUAAAGCACAGCACACCAAGGACACAUUGCUGCACCUUCCUCUCAUCUUUUGUAGGGGUAUCCUUGGCAAUUCCAUCUUUGUGAGGUUGUGAGAUUAUGUCAGUGUUGAUCUUGAGGGUGCAGAGAUGCAGACAAACCUCUCUACAUAAUGUUAAGUCUGGAGGAUAGUUGCUGAUCCAUGUUUUAACAGCUAAAGCUUUAUUGUCGGGCCAUUGGAUAGAGAUGAAACUCCCCCGUACACAUAUCUCCCUGACACAGUGCAGCUAAAACUGCAGUUAUAAAAGAGAAUACAUGCUGUCAGCUACAAAAAAAUAAACAGUUAUUGGUUUAGAGAACCAUUGUCUUAACAAAGAAUAGCAAUAUCACCUCCAAAGCUGGACGUAAUCUUUGAUUCUGACAUAGAAUAGAAAGGCGAGAAGAAGCUUUAAUGUUGAGACAAUAGUAGAUUUGUUUGCUGCACACGCUUCAAAUUAGACCAAGGUUUGGGUGAGGAUAAACAUAAGUUUAAGCCAUUCUCAGUCUUCACCAUAGCAGGGAACAAUUCAUAUUUGAAUACAACACUAUUGUUGAACAAAGCACUGGCAUGGAAGGAUGCUGCUGGAUGGAAAUAGAGCUUAUCUUAUCGUGCUGUGAGUAUGGGGUCUUUGCUGCAGACAGCUUCAGUCGGUUGAAAGGAACAGGGUGCGUGGCUUAAGUGCCUGUCUUUGUUUUACCUCUUAACUGCUGCAUUACCCUUGCAAACCUUAUGAUUAUAUUACAGAAACACGCUUUAUAUUCCAUGUCCAUAUGUCACGCUUAUAAGUGUAGACGCUUCAAAGGCAGUGGCAUAUUUGUUGUGAGUCAGGAUGGGGUGUAAACUGUGUAAAAGUAGUGCAGCACUCAUACAUUUUAAAAGCUGAAGUAUUGUGUCUGUUUACACCAGUAAGUUGAAGAUAUUUGCACACUGUUUCCGUGGAGAUUAUUUAACAGCCUGAGCCACUAUGACUUACACUGAAAAGCAUCCUUUCCAAAAGGUUUCUCUUUAAACACUGCUCGCUGUGACAGAGUAUAGAGUGGGGUGGGAGUCUGUGGGUAAACUAACACAGGAAGUGGGGACAGCUGUAUAAAAGUUAGGUGCUAGUGUGUGGUUUUCACAAAAAAAACGUAUCACAUCUGACAAGCCAAAGCAUAACAUGAUUAAUAUGUCUGGGUGAUAAAAAACAAAGUUGGAGAAACUUGAGUUUGUCUUUUAUUUUACGUUUGAAUAAAUAACUUGAUUAUUAUGCAUGACUGGAUUUAGUCCUGUGUCAGCAGGUAAAGUGUGGUCAAAUAAUAUGGAAUAUUUUUUAUUUUGUUGUAAUGACCAAACAUGCAUCAAAAAAGUAAAUCACAUUAGCUUAUAUAUAUAAAAAAUUACGCAAAAGAGGUCAAAUAUGAACUUUUCUGUGCUGUUUGUUUUGCUCUGGCUCAGCUCUAAGAGGAAAUACUGUCACCAUUUAUGUGAAUCAUGCUGUUUGUCAAUAACAGCUCUGCUCAAGCUGGGCACGGUGUGGUUAUCCUGUCUGUGAGCGUACAGCUGUGUGGCUCAAGUUCAGCACACAGCUUGAGUACAUUCGCCUUAAUUUUUUUGAGUAAUUACGUGGAAUUUGUGAACAGUAUUUAGUGAUUUAUCAUGUGGUUUUGUUAACAAGUUUUAGAGGAAUUCUAACAGAAAUCUACUUCAUCAGUAAGUCAUUACUCCCCGUAAAUACAGAGUCUCCACUGCUGCCUCCUCCAAGGUGUUUCUGUUUCUACCUUAAAGAUCUGGGUUUACAAGUAACACUACCAAGGCUGAUAUAAGCUUCUGAAACUGCAGUUUUUGAGAGCCACUCAAAUGUCUUUUACAGUUUCUAACAUUGAGUUAUUGUAGCAAGAACAACUGGCACCACUUUUCCCAUCUUUACUGAAAUGUCUACAAUAUAGAUAUUCUCUGUUAAUGGUUUUGUUGGAAUGGGUCCAUGAAAAAACAAGAACUUUGAAAGCUUGAAUUGUACAGAGCAAAUGCACAUUAUAAACAUUUUUUUCUUCUUCUGUCUGUGCAUAACUAACAUGCUGAGAGUUGAACCAGGAAGCUUUGAAGCUCACACGUUGAGGGGCAUGGUACAGAUGAGCACUCACACUAUAAGCAGAACUGAAAUGGUUUGUGAGCACAGUCCACACUUGUCGCCAAAUAAAGAAAACCCCCAAAUUUUAAUGUCUGUGAUAAGAUGUGGUCUCAUUUACCUAAAUCUUUCCAAGAAACAUACUGAGAUGCGGACGUUGACUAGAGGAGCAUUUCUGACUUUUUAAAAAGAAAGAGAAAAACUGAAGCAGGUUGCACUAGAGAAAUACACAAACAGUUAAAAUAGUGAGAUUGAUUUGUGAAAAUAUGCCCUUAGAAAGCUCUGAGUAGCUUGUGAAGUUCAGUCACCUGAGGUGAGUGAGAUGCACUCAGCUGAAUAAAGUGUUUGACUCAUGAACAGCCAAAACUUUUGCUCCAGCGUUUUCACUAACCUUCUGAAUCCUUCGUUGUUGAUCACAGAGAAAGUCUGUCUGGCUGUAUCUUCAGUGAUACAGCUGAUAUCCUGAGUUUGUGCACAUUUAAGGGGCCUCCUUUAGAGUCUUUUGGCCAGGCUGGAUUUUUUCCUCACCUCGUCUCCAAUCUUUUCAGGGUGAUAAUUUGCUUCUGAAAUGUGGCUUCUGAAAUUACUUGUUUUCCACGACGUGUAGGUCAUUACAGUCUGACAGUGUCACUCCACUUUGCUCAAACAAAAUUUCAUUUCCAGCUAGAAAGACCUCUCUUUUCAUAGUAAAACAGGUCGAAAUAAUAUUGUGGUACUGUCAUUAUCAUUACAUCUCAGCUAAACUGGGAUAUUUAUCACAAAACUUUUUUAGAAUAAUUUCAAAACCAAACUUUAAAGCUAAAUUUAUUUCAAAUUCAUAUGGAAAUCAUGCGCUCAAAGAUCAAUGUACAAUGCUUCGCAGCCCAGACUACAGGUUUACUCUGCUGCCUCUCAGUGUUGCUGGAAUAAAACAGAAAAUGAUUAGAAGUGUUUGAAUGUAGUUUGGCAGGGGUGAGAAAUUUUAAGUGCUUUCCCUCCACCUCUCAUCAUCCCCCCUCACACGCUCUCUUUAAUGUCUACACACACGCACACACAGGUGUCAGAACGUCAGAGAGGUCUGACUGACUCUAGCCCUGUCACUGAGUGCAUGCUGAGAAAACAGCUCCUCCUCCCCCCUCUCCUGUCCUCACCCCCCUCUCCCCCUCCCCUCCUCUCUGGACGCCAGCCUGACAUACCAGACCUUGUUCGUUAGCACAUAUUUUUACCCACCGUUACUAAAUUAGGAAGCCAGAGGGAGCAAAUGGAGUGUGGCUGCCAAGGCAGAAGAAGAAGGGUCUGAUCAGGCUUGGGUUUGCUGAGGGCCUAUGCCAACCCUACCGGCUUCAUUAAGAGCCACUUGGGUUUCAGAAAUAGAAGUCCAAUGGGGACUGAGGCCAAACAGAGUCCUCAACGGCUAGCCAAAAACUCACGGGACAAACAAACAAACAAACGGGCUGUCUUAUGGUCUGCCAGAAUCAACCGGCAGCAGCCGUCCCAAGGAGCUAUAAGAAGUUAUCUUAGGCAGUGCUGCAUACAACAUGUGCCCUGCCCCAGGUUUAAAGUGGUGACAGUACACAUAAUGCCAGACCCACAUAGAAUAAAUUAACCUAGAAAGCUGUCUCCAGAGACCAAUUUCUCAAAGCAGCCACUGAGACAUUACUACUAGUUUGUUUGGCAUGGAUUCUCGGGCCUGAUUUAAGAAAGGAUAUUUUCACAAGGAAAUGUACAUUUCCUCUCCUCACUGUUGACUCAUAACAUGUAGAUAUAGGUACGGUAAGAUGUGGAGUACAAGUAUCUUAUGUGUGCGUUUAAAUCAACAUUAUUUAGUUUCUUCACUCUUUUAUCAUAACAAUCUACAAUAAGAUCAAGAUUAGUCUAAAGCUUAGGGGUCCUGAGAUAACUUUUGCCAUGGUUUGAGCUAAAUGACUUUAAUUUUGACUUUAAAAAUUAGACAUCUUAUAUUAUAAGGUAAAUAAAAUGUAAACUUCAUCCUCUAAAGUUAAUUACUAAAUGUUAUGUAAAAGAUUUACCUAAAAGGAGCUUUGGACAAAGCAAAUAACAUAAAAUCAGAACAUUUCAUCUCUGGCAGUGAAUUUCAGAGAUGGGCGGACAAUUUGAAAAUGCGGUUGUAUAAUGUGCUCAUAUAAAAGGUUACAAAACCACAGAGGACAGUCAUUCUGGUUCAUUUUUCACCUUUUCAUGGAGUGGAACCUCUCACCUAUUCACUACUAUGAAUUCAGUCCAUUUAACACACACCCAUUUAAACUACUCAGCUUUAAACAGCUAAAACAGAACAGCUUUAAUAAUGCUACCUUCAAACAUUAGAUUGACAGAUUCAUGAGGAAUUCAUAAAUUCAUGUUUGUGUGUGACAUGGUUCAAAUAGCUUUUUCUGUACUUUGUGUUGACUCAUGUAUUGAUAGGCAAAAUAAUGUUUAUGUUUCACAAUUUUAUGGUUUCCUUUUGCAAGAAUCAAAAACCCGUUUAAUAAAAAAAAUUGAAAUAAAUAUCUUUUGAAGUCUGAGUAAACGCCAUAUGGCUGGUAAAACAAGUGCUGAAAUGUAGUCUGGAUAUCACUAAAACAGACAGCCCUGGGGUUUACUUGUCCCCAGUUCAACACUUUGAAGUGAGCAGACCCUAAGGUGAGUCCAAGC